rnacentral:rRNA from 1 species
AUGUCCAUGGAGCAGAGCAGGCGAGGAGGGAGACUAGGUCGCGCUCUCUCUGCCUUUGUCUCGCGUGGGGAGGAGUGGAGGCUGCGGCUCGCACUUCUUCUCCUUUGUGGACUGCAGAAUGGACGGGCGAGACGCUGCUCCUCUUGUCACGCGAGGGUGACAGUCUGGUCCCGUCCAGGUACUCCUCUUUGGCGUAAUGGGACACCAGACAAGCCAGUUCUCUGCAAUGCAUGUGGUUCGAGAUGGAGGAUAAAGGGUACAUUGGUGAAUUACACACCGGCGCAUCGUCGGGAAGAUACUGACGCUGGCGAAGCUGGACCUGACAAGCUGAAGCUCAAUGGACAGAAACAGCCGAAGAAACGACCAAACUGCACUACUGCAGCAUAG